rnacentral:rRNA from 1 species
GUACACUCCUACGGGAGGCAGCAGUGGGGAAUAUUGGACAAUGGGCGCAAGCCUGAUCCAGCCAUGCCGCGUGAGUGAUGAAGGCCCUAGGGUUGUAAAGCUCUUUCACCGGUGAAGAUAAUGACGGUAACCGGAGAAGAAGCCCCGGCUAACUUCGUGCCAGCAGCCGCGGUAAUACGAAGGGGGCUAGCGUUGUUCGGAUUUACUGGGCGUAAAGCGCACGUAGGCGGACUAUUAAGUCAGGGGUGAAAUCCCGGGGCUCAACCCCGGAACUGCCUUUGAUACUGGUAGUCUUGAGUUCGAGAGAGGUGAGUGGAAUUCCGAGUGUAGAGGUGAAAUUCGUAGAUAUUCGGAGGAACACCAGUGGCGAAGGCGGCUCACUGGCUCGAUACUGACGCUGAGGUGCGAAAGCGUGGGGAGCAAACAGGAUUAGAUACCCCAGUAGUCCCAUGAU